UAUCAGUUAUGAGCAAACAGUUGUUACUGAUUCUUGUAUCUCCCAGGAUUCCUGUUGCUUUACCCACACCAGACAAGAGUCAAGAGUACAUCACUAUGAAUCACUUGGGUGAAGAUGAGCAGGGGCAACACGAAGUGGGCACAACUUUUAUAUCAAGUGGAAAAGAUUUGAUAGAGAUCAUCUAUUAUGAUGCAGUUUUUUUACCAGUAGAAGUGGAUCUUGUGACACUACCUUUGGAAGUCGCUGUUUAUCUGAAGCUGUAAUUCUUGGGAUCUCUGUCCAAAGGGUGAUGGAAGGGAGGGUGUGAAAAGAGGAGAAUGUUCACUGUUAAACCAGAACUGACUUGCAGUGUCUUUGAAAACGUUCAAAGGAUGCAUCAAAAUGCUGGUAGUAUAUAAAUGUCUGAUACAAGCUUCUCAACUCAAUGUCAAACAGAAUAUAAAAGAAAAAAGGAGGUCUGGAAAAAAAAAAUCUAAGUGGUUAAGGAUCAUGUGAGGUGGAUUAGGUAAGAGAGCUCUCAAAAUUAUGGUGGGUCUCGAACUUUGUCAUUUUUGCAGAGAUUCAAAGUAAAGGCCGUGCCAGGUAGUCUGUCCUGCUUUUAAGCUUACAAAUUUUGCAUAAAUGCCUAAAAUAUUUAAGUUUUCUUGGAGUUUCAUGCAUCCUGGAGAGAGAGAGAGAGAGAGAGAGAGAGAGAGAGAGAGAGACAACCUCUGCUUUGUAAAAGGCGGUAGAGACAGUGAAGCAUUCAGAUCACAUCUGCGGGAUCUCUUGGUGGAGGGCAUGUAGGUGUAGGCUGGUGGAGCGUGGUGCCCAGGGCUUGCUCAGGUUUAGGGGGGAAGCCCUCAUCUCCAUGGCUGCACAGGUUGGAGCCACGGACCCUCCAAGACCCUUCCUUGAGUAGCAGCUUGACAGAGCUCUAGCAGAGACUUCUGCAUUGACGGUCGGGUUUUGGCUGGUCAGGUGGAAGCAGAUUAAAGUUGUCAAGCUCUCUCUGCUUGGUCAGAGGGCGGCAGCAUAUGGCUUAUUUCCCAAAGCAGCAAGGGCAAACCUCAAAGGGCUGAACUCGCCCAGGCUCCUUUCCCGUGCUUCGGGUGCUGAUAUGCCAUCGACAACCGCGUGGGACGAGAUGGUUGGCUCAGCUUUAAAAUGAGGUGUCCGCAGGGAUGCGGAACAACUCCCCCCCCACAGGGCAAGAGGGCAGGCUGGGCCUCUUUGUGCAUUUGUCCAAGGGGCAGGAUUUUUCCUGCACCCGGCACGGGGCUU
rnacentral:lncRNA from 1 species